UCAGGUGGUUAUAGCACGAGGGUUCCACCUCUUCCCAUUCCGAACAGAGAAGUUAAGCCUCGUCACGCCGAUGGUACUGCGUAACAGUGGGAGAGUAGGUAGUCGCCGUUU
rnacentral:rRNA from 3 species